rnacentral:rRNA from 1 species
AGAGUUUGAUCCUGGCUCAGAACGAACGCUGGCGGCAUGCCUAACACAUGCAAGUCGAACGAGACCUUCGGGUCUAGUGGCGCACGGGUGCGUAACGCGUGGGAACCUGCCUUUAGGUUCGGAAUAACUCAGAGAAAUUUGAGCUAAUACCGGAUAAUGUCUUCGGACCAAAGAUUUAUCGCCUUUAGAUGGGCCCGCGUUGGAUUAGCUAGUUGGUGGGGUAAAGGCCUACCAAGGCGACGAUCCAUAGCUGGUCUGAGAGGAUGAUCAGCCACACUGGGACUGAGACACGGCCCAGACUCCUACGGGAGGCAGCAGUGGGGAAUAUUGGACAAUGGGCGAAAGCCUGAUCCAGCAAUGCCGCGUGAGUGAUGAAGGCCUUAGGGUUGUAAAGCUCUUUUACCCGAGAUGAUAAUGACAGUAUCGGGAGAAUAAGCUCCGGCUAACUCCGUGCCAGCAGCCGCGGUAAUACGGAGGGAGCUAGCGUUGUUCGGAAUUACUGGGCGUAAAGCGCACGUAGGCGGCUUUUUAAGUCAGGGGUGAAAUCCCGGGGCUCAACCCCGGAACUGCCCUUGAAACUGGGAAGCUAGAAUCUUGGAGAGGCGAGUGGAAUUCCGAGUGUAGCGGUGAAAUGCGUAGA